UACGUAGGGUGCAAGCGUUAAUCGGAAUUACUGGGCGUAAAGCGUGCGCAGGCGGUUUUGUAAGUCUGACGUGAAAUCCCCCGGGCUCAACCUGGGAAUUGCGUUGGAGACUGCAAGGCUGGAGUCUGGCAGAGGGGGGUAGAAUUCCACGUGUAGCAGUGAAAUGCGUAGAGAUGUGGAGGAACACCGAUGGCGAAGGCAGCCCCCCUGGGUCAAGACUGACGCUCAUGCACGAAAGCGUGGGGAGCAAACGAGGAU
rnacentral:rRNA from 1 species